GUUCAGAGCUGAGGAUUGAAGAAAUUAACAGAGGCUGAGAGGGCUUCUUACUACUACUUGGUUGGAUCACGCAACAGCAUGGACUCUCAUAACUCAAGCUUUCUACUUCCACUUCCAGGAGAUUCGACUAAGAAUCUGUCCGAGCUGAAUAUGUUACAAAAAGAGUUGGAAGAUAAGGAAUCAAUGAUUAAAGAUCUGAAGCGUGAAAUCGAAUCAACGGAGAUUCGUUUAAGAACUAGCAACCAUGAAAUUCCAAAGGAAAAGAAGGAAGCUUUCAGAACCUUGAGAGAACAGUAUAACAAGCUGCGAGAUGAGUAUAAUGCAUUAUUGGCGGAAAAUAUAAAGAAAAAAGAAGAGUAAAGGUAUGAUCAAGUCUUCAUAUUCCAACUCUUACCUCCUUGUGUUUAUCAGAGAGAGAGAAUUUGGGCAUUAGUAGUUGGGUAUUGUUUUCUUAGUAAAAGAUCUUCAAGGUCAGUUAUGUAGUAGCAGUAGUACAACCAUGGCAAGCUAUCUUUGCAUGAAUCCAUGUUUUUCAGAUGAGAUUCUUAACAAGCUUGGUCUAUGCUAGUUUGUUUUUAAGAGCCCUUA